AUGUGAUGUGACCGCAUGGUCUGCAUCUGGAAAGAAUUUCGGUUGGGGAUGGGCUCGCGGCCUAUCAGCUUGUUGGUGAGGUAAUGGCUCACCAAGGCGUCGACGGGUAGCCGGCCUGAGAGGGUGACCGGCCACACUGGGACUGAGACACGGCCCAGACUCCUACGGGAGGCAGCAGUGGGGAAUAUUGCACAAUGGGCGCAAGCCUGAUGCAGCAACGCCGCGUGAGGGAUGACGGCCUUCGGGUUGUAAACCUCUUUUAGCAGGGAAGAAGCGAAAGUGACGGUACCUGCAGAAAAAGCGCCGGCUAACUACGUGCCAGCAGCCGCGGUAAUACGUAGGGCGCAAGCGUUAUCCGGAAUUAUUGGGCGUAAAGAGCUCGUAGGCGGUUUGUCGCGUCUGCUGUGAAAUCCGGAGGCUCAACCUCCGGCCUGCAGUGGGUACGGGCAGACUAGAGUGCGGUAGGGGAGAUUGGAAUUCCUGGUGUAGCGGUGGAAUGCGCAGAUAUCAGGAGGAACACCGAUGGCGAAGGCAGAUCUCUGGGCCGUAACUGACGCUGAGGAGCGAAAGGGUGGGGAGCAAACAGGCUUAGAUACCCUGGUAGUCCACCCCGUAAACGUUGGGAACUAGUUGUGGGG
rnacentral:rRNA from 1 species